CAGGUCCUACGGGACGCAGCAGUGGGGGAUAUUGCACAAUGGGGGGAACCCUGAUGCAGCGACGCCGCGUGGGUGAAGGAGCGUUUCGGCGCGUAAAGCCCUAUCGGCAGGGAAGAAGAUGACGGUACCUGACCAAGAAGCCCCGGCUAACUACGUGCCAGCAGCCGCGGUAAUACGUGGGGGGCAAGCGUUAUCCGGAUUUACUGGGUGUAAAGGGGGCGCAGAUGGCAAUGCAAGCCAGGAGUGAAAGCCCGGGGCCCAACCCCGGGACUGCUCUUGGAACUGCAUG
rnacentral:rRNA from 1 species